rnacentral:rRNA from 1 species
GAGUUUGAUCCUGGCUCAGGACGAACGCUGGCGGCGUGCUUAACACAUGCAAGUCGAGCGAUGAAGCUCCUUCGGGAGUGGAUUAGCGGCGGACGGGUGAGUAACACGUGGGUAACCUGCCUCAUAGAGGGGAAUAGCCUUUCGAAAGGAAGAUUAAUACCGCAUAAGAUUGUAGUACCGCAUGGUAUAGCAAUUAAAGGAGUAAUCCGCUAUGAGAUGGACCCGCGUCGCAUUAGCUAGUUGGUGAGGUAACUGCUCACCAAGGCGACGAUGCGUAGCCGACCUGAGAGGGUGAUCGGCCACAUUGGGACUGAGACACGGCCCAGACUCCUACGGGAGGCAGCAGUGGGGAAUAUUGCACAAUGGGGGAAACCCUGAUGCAGCAACGCCGCGUGAGUGAUGACGGUCUUCGGAUUGUAAAACUCUGUCUUUAGGGACGAUAAUGACGGUACCUAAGGA